UGAACCUACGGGGGGCAGCAGUGGGGGAUAUUGCACAAUGGGCGAAAGCCUGAUGCAGCGACGCCGCGUAUAGGAAGAAGGUUUUCGGAUUGUAAACUAUUGUCGUUAGGGAAGAGAAAGGACAGUACCUAAGGAGGAAGCUCCGGCUAACUACGUGCCAGCAGCCGCGGUAAUACGUAGGGAGCGAGCGUUAUCCGGAAUUAUUGGGUGUAAAGGGUGCGUAGACGGGAAAGCAAGUUAGUUGUGAAAUCCCUCGGCUUAACUGAGGAACUGCAACUAGAACUACUUUUCUUGAGUGCAGGAGG
rnacentral:rRNA from 1 species